GACGAACGCUGGCGGCGUGCCUAACACAUGCAAGUCGAACGGAACUUCUUCAAAAAGAUUUCUUCGGAAUGAAUUUGAUUAAGUUUAGUGGCGGACGGGUGAGUAACGCGUGAGUAACCUGCCUCUAAGAGGGGAAUAACAUUCUGAAAAGAAUGCUAAUAUCGCAUAAUAUAUAUUUAUCGCAUGGUAGAUAUAUCAAAGAUUUAUCGCUUAGAGAUGGACUCGCGUCCGAUUAGUUAGUUGGUGAGGUAACGGCUCACCAAGACUGCGAUCGGUAGCCGGACUGAGAGGUUGAACGGCCACAUUGGGACUGAGACACGGCCCAGACU
rnacentral:rRNA from 1 species